rnacentral:rRNA from 1 species
UCCCAGCGGUCCGAGUCGCAUCCACAAUUAUUGGGUCUAAAACAUUCGUAGCUUGUUUUUUAAGUUCCUUGUGAAAUCUUAAAUCAUAAAUUUAAGGCGUGCAAGGAAUACUGAUAAACUUGAGACCGGAAGAAGUAAAGAGUAUGACCGAGGUAGUGGUAAAAUACGUUAAUCUUGGUUAGACUAACAACAGCGAAGGCACUUUACUAGUACGGAUCUGACAGUGAGGAAUGAUGGCUAGGGUCGCGAAAGG